CAAAGGAGAGACAUCACACUUAAUUUCAUUCUAUUUUUCUUUGGUUUGAUCAGUACAGUUAAACAAUGAAGUUUGAUAGAACAGAUGCUCUGUCAAUUUUGUCACAAAUUAAGCGUCAGGAUAAACAGAUUAAACUUAAGAAUGGUUACUCGGCAUUCCUCCCACAAGAUAUGAGAGGAAGAAGUUGAAAAAAUAUUUCAAAAAUAGGUAUUUAUCUGAGUCCUUGAUCAGAGAAGACGAUAUGUUUUAUGAGUCAGUAAAAACUCAUCUUGAAGAUGCCGUUGGAGAACACUGCUUUGAACAAGAGAACGAUAUUCCUAAGGGGGAUAUGGAUUUGAUUCAAACACUGAACAUGAAAAGGUUGAUAUCACCGUUGCUUGAUAAUUUGACUACCAAGGGUCUCUAUCUUCUCGCUAUGAUAGUUACUGGUGGUUCGUUUAAGUCUGAAGUAACACGUUGCAAAAUGAAAAGGGUUAUCAAGGAUUCUCUUUCGAGUGUUCUGGGCAGCAAAAGCCGCCAUAACCAUCUGGAUACUUGUAAACAAAUCUUUUCACUUCUCAACAAUCCACAAAAUUUUCGAGACAGGUGUGAGCCUUUGGGUGCAUUGAGAUCCCUCUCUUAUCAUGCUGCGGCAGAAAAGGUAUUGCACAGGCUUCAAAACUUGCCAUCUCAGACCUUGAUUGCAAUGCGUAGAAAACUUAAAGGAGUGAAAGCACCAGUACCGCAGUUACAACCCCGCAAGCAUGGAUGGGCAAGAGACCAUCUAAUCAAGCUAGUGAAGAAGAUCAGUAUGGAAAUGCUUUCAAAACUUGAUAGAGAAAGUGAGUUGCCAGAGCCAUUAGCCAAAGCUAUGGCAGUAGCAGACUUAUCACUAAAACUCACAACUGGUUCUCAUAACAUGUUUUCAAAAGAAUUUUAUCAAUUCUCACCUGAGGUGAAGUCCUUGCAAAGUGAUAUUAUUAAGGCUAUAUGGUCUGUUAAGAAAGUAACGACAGUGCCAGAGCUAAGCAAUUUACAGCUUCUCAUAGAACCAAAGGCUACAAUAUCAAACCGGUGCAUCCGGACAACUUUUGUAAAUUUUUUAACUGAAUUUCUUUUUGAGUGCAGUGAUAUGGAUAGUGUUCCGAAGUCUCUAUCACAGACCCUAGAUGUUAUUAACAGAGGUCCUAAUAAUGGUGGCUUGCACAAUGUAUUAUUCAAAAAGAAGUAUAUUGAGGAAGAAGUUGACUGCAUACUAAACAUUAGUGCUUUGACAAAACAAAUUGUUUUGGAUUUGUUGCCUGAUGAUAAAUUUGAUAAAGACUUUACUGAUGCUUACAUGGAGCAAUUAGAAGAAAGUGAUGACAGUGACAGCGACGAGGAUGGUGGUAGUCAACUUCAGGAGGACAUACGAUUCGGAAAUGGAUCAUUUGAUUCAAUCGAUACAUGCAAUGAAGCAGAAAGUAUUGGAGAUUUUGUGCCAUUUGAGUUCCUUUCUUCUACCAUCAAAAUUGAGGAGAAUGUUUCAUCUUCCCCACUUACAGUUAGUGAUAGGUUGAAUAGUGGUUCUGAACGACUUCAACCUAAUAAAUGUUGUAGUGUAAAUUUGGAAUCUGAAUUUCACAAUACUACACAUAACAUGUUAACUGACCAAUGCCAAGGAGAAAGCACAGAGCAUUUUAGUAAAUUUAUGGCUGGCAAAAACAAUAAUUCUUCAUUUGUUUCACCUGACAGAGAGUUGGAUGAAAAGGUUGUAAAGAGAAAUCAUUUGUUUGAAUCUGUUACUAAAAUAGCUGCAACGGACACAACUAAUUUGUUUUCUGAAGAGAAAGAACCUGUGCCUACUAAGCACGGUGCAUGCAAAAACCAAUACCUUGCUAUCCAAGAUGCUUGUGAUAAGACAAGUAUGCUUGCAUAUAGUCUUGUAGGUCGAAUGUUGCAUGAGUUUGUCAAAACUGAAGGCCUAGAUUUAAAUAUGAGCAAGAGUUUAUACCUCAACCGUAAUAAUCUCAUUGAAGAUGUUGAAGGUAUUGAAAGUUUAUGCUAUUUUACCUAUUAUAACCAAAAUAUAUAUCAUGCUAUGUCUACCAAUUUAAAGAUGUUGUUUGAUCAUAUUGCUACUGUACAUUGUAUUAAAAGUAAAUUUCAUUCUCUGACAAGAUUUUGUCCUUUGUGAAACUUGAACAAAGUAAAACAUGUCAGUAUACCUUUCUUUAUUUAUUAUUGAAUGAAAUGUCAUUUGUGUCACCCACAGAAACUGUAUCUUUUUCCUAGAACCAUGUCUUUUCUUUUUUUUCGAUUUUCUUGCAUGUUCUCAGUUCAUCGUACAUACUAAUGGUAAAACUGUAAUUUUUUGUAAAGCCUAAGAUUGUUUCAUUCAUUGAAUGCAUAGUAGUUUAGCCACGUAAUGUUUGCAAAUAAUAUGUUGCAUAUCUUCAUGGACUAUUGCUGAUUCCUUACCACAAUAUGUCUGAUUUCAAAUCCCACUGACUGCAUGGCUGGAUACUAUUGAAUUUGAGAUGAUGAAAAUUGUUAGAUGCUUUUUCUGUAAGCCAAUGCAAGAGAGAUGGAGCGAUGAAAAUUGGGGAUCAUCUUGCUUUGUAUUCAUAAUGUUUGCCUUGUGCAUAGGUUUGUGAUAAACAUCUAGUGCUUUGGCAUACAUCUAUAAAUUAUGAAUAUAGACAUUUGAUAGGUUGAAUCAAAUACUCUGCUAGUAUCAUUGUGCAGUCUAAAUUGAUUAACCUGUUCUAUUACAUGCAGAUAUAGAAGAGCAGUCAUCAUCUGGGAAACAUGCAAGAGAUUUUGUUCAAGUAAUUGAAGAGUUGAUUCCUUCCUUUCCAAAUAGUAGCAUGGAAAGACUGAAGAUUUUGAUGGGCUUACAAUAAUGGAACUCAGGGUAUCAGGUUCAAACAUUUUCAAAUGUUUGACCCAACUGUGAGCUUGCUUGGUGUGAGCUUUACCCUUCCCUCCAAGGAUUUUUUUUGUCACAAAUGGAUUCUCUGCCAUAACAAAAAGAGCUCGCCACAGAGGAAUCUUAUAAUUUUAAGCCUCCAUCAAUUCUUGCUACAACGGAUGGAUAGCCUCGUCAUCGAGUUUAUUGCAUCGCCGUAGUUGUUGAGAAGAAUGGAAGCACCUUGGUGUAAGUGUUGUAUGCUUUAUUUGAGUACUUUUUGGUGCGAAAAUUCAACGAGCUGGGACGUGCUGGAAUGUUUUAGUGUGCGGCAUUUAAAGAUAACAUUACUUGCAAUAUGUCAUUGUGAAACAGCCCUUAUAUAUUGGUAGAAGAAUGAUAGUCUGUAAUUUGAAUGUAAAUUUCUGGAGAAAGAUUGAUAGUCUGUAAUUUGAAUGUAAAUUUCUUUUACAUUUUCUGUUUU